GGGGAAUUAGCUCAAAUUGUAGAGCGCUCACUUAGCAUGUGAUAGGCAUGGGGAUCAAUACCCCAAUUCUCCA